rnacentral:rRNA from 1 species
AUGAACGCUGGCGGCGUGCCUCAUACAUGCAAGUCGAGCGAACAGACGAGGAGCUUGCUCCUCUGACGUUAGCGGCGGACGGGUGAGUAACACGUGGAUAACCUACCUAUAAGACUGGGAUAACUUCGGGAAACCGGAGCUAAUACCGGGUAAUAUAUUGAACCGCAUGGUUCAAUAGUGAAAGACGGUUUUGCUGUCACUUAUAGAUGGAUCCGCGCCGCAUUAGCUAGUUGGUAAGGUAACGGCUUACCAAGGCAACGAUGCGUAGCCGACCUGAGAGGGUGAUCGGCCACACUGGAACUGAGACACGGUCCAGACUCCUACGGGAGGCAGCAGUAGGGAAUCUUCCGCAAUGGGCGAAAGCCUGACGGAGCAACGCCGCGUGAGUGAUGAAGGUCUUCGGAUCGUAAAACUCUGUUAUUAGGGAAGAACAAAUGUGUAAGUAACUAUGCACGUCUUGACGGUACCUAAUCAGAAAGCCACGGCUAACUACGUG